rnacentral:rRNA from 1 species
AGAUUGAACGCUGGCGGCAUGCCUUACACAUGCAAGUCGAACGGCAGCACGGGAGCAAUCCUGGUGGCGAGUGGCGAACGGGUGAGUAAUACAUCGGAACGUGCCCAAUCGUGGGGGAUAACGCAGCGAAAGCUGUGCUAAUACCGCAUAAGAUCUACGGAUGAAAGCAGGGGAUCGUAAGACCUUGCGCGAAUGGAGCGGCCGAUGGCAGAUUAAGUAGUUGGUGAGGUAAGGCUCACCAAGCCUUCGAUCUGUAGCUGGUCUGAGAGGACGACCAGCCACACUGGGACUGAGACACGGCCCAGACUCCGUACGGGAGCAGCGAGGUGGGGGUAAUUUUGGAACGAAUGGGGACGAAAG